GCUUCAUUGCCAAGGUUUUCUUUUUUCAGCUAAGAUUGGAGUGGACUUCUGGGUAACCAAGCAAAAGUUUUUGGAUUGAAUGGUGGGCAGAAAGCCUAAAACCGAAGCAGCCUGACACAAAGCCCAUGUGUUCUCAUUGUAUUGGAUUCUUGAAAGCUUCGUGGGCUUUAGUUACUUGUGAAGUUCACGUCUCAACAACGCUGGACCACUUCCUCUCUUCUUUCUAACCCAUGUUUCUCUCACAAUUCAAAGCCUUUUUU
rnacentral:misc_RNA from 1 species